CUGACCUGAAAAUCUGUGGUCUGAAAACAUGAAGGCGAAAAUAAUCAGAGAGAUGAAGCAAAAACUGCAGUCCAGUUUAUCUUCUAGCAGUUUGAUUCAGUAAUUUGCAGCAAACACAUAAUCAAAAAGCAACAACAGUGCAGUGAAAAAGAUGUGAAAGUUUAUUUCAUCUUUAUUUAUACUUUUGAAUCUCAUUGAGACACAAGUUAUAACUUUCAAGUCUGACUGUAACGUAAUAAAACAUUUCAUAAUGUCCAGCAUUCAUAUAACCAAUAAACUGAGAAAAUUCAGCAAUAAAAAAAGAGAAAAGUGUGAAAACAGGAAGAGACAUGUGGUGCUUUUACUGCAAACAUGUUUAAAUCCCUUCAGAUUUCCAGUUUCAGGAUCUGUUUUCGUUUUUCUUUCCGGGGAAAUGUCUGAAGGGAAAACGUGUCUGUGGUUUUAUGUCACAUUGAUGGAAAUGAGCGAAUUUUAAUCCUCCACACAGAAUCAAGAUUCAUGGGAAUCCUCUGAACUCCAGCUGUGUUUCUCCCUUCUACCUGAUCUACAGCCAACAAUCAAACCACUAGGAACAUCAGUUCUCUGGAAGUGAGUGACCUCUGACCUCCUAUGAAACAUAAACAGCUGGAUUCAACGGUAGACGUUGUGCAACCAGAAACAAAGACAUGUUGAUUCAACUUUUACACCGUUUCCAUCUUACAAACACUUUCUUUUUCAAAAAUAAAAAUCUUAAAAGUGUG